ACACAGCUGGGAUGUAGCAGAGCUGGGGUUCCAGCUCCUGUUCCCAUUGCUGGACAGCUGCCACAUCUGGCACCCAAUUUAGGACCCCGUGGGGAGGCCCAAGCCCCGGGGGUGGCGGGGGAUCCUAGAGGGAAGUGGCAAGGCCAGGACCCUGGAGCAGAGCCAGAGUAGAAAACUGAGGCUCUGAGAGAUGAAGCUACUUGCCAAGGUCACGCAGCUCAGUCACAUCCUACUGAACAUCAUCCUGUUCCCUGGGGACUUAGCACGUAUCCUAGAAAUUAACCUGCUGGUAGAUCCUGUUUCUUGUCUGUCUCUUUCCAGUGGAAUGUCACCAUCGCCCAGGUCCUCCCAGCAGCUCCUGCAAACAGACCCCCGACCCAAGCCCUUCCUUCUGCCUCCACUGCCACCAUUGCUGCUCAUCUCUGCUGGCACAGAAGUCUCUUCCCUGGACUUCCAGAAAUCCCCUCUCCACACUCAGCCAGAGGGAGCUAUUAAAACUGCGGGCCAGCCCACAUCAGUCCACAGCGAAGUCCUCUCUAAGGGAUCCCUGUUGCUUGGAGAAUAAACCCUCGGAUUCCUUC